UACGUAGGGUCCGAGCGUUGUCCGGAAUUAUUGGGCGUAAAGGGCUCGUAGGCGGUCUGUCGCGUCGGGAGUGAAAACUUACAGCUUAACUGUGAGCGUGCUUCCGAUACGGGCAGACUUGAGGUAUUCAGGGGAGAACGGAAUUCCUGGUGUAGCGGUGAAAUGCGCAGAUAUCAGGAGGAACACCGGUGGCGAAGGCGGUUCUCUGGGCAUGAUCUGACGCUGAGGAGCGAAAGUGUGGGGAGCGAACAGG
rnacentral:rRNA from 1 species